rnacentral:rRNA from 1 species
CAGCAGUGGGGAAUAUUGCACAAUGGGGGAAACCCUGAUGCAGCCAUGCCGCGUGUGUGAAGAAGGCCUUCGGGUUGUAAAGCACUUUCAGUAGGGAGGAAGGUAGUGUAGUUAACACCUGCAUUAUUUGACGUUACCUACAGAAGAAGCACCGGCUAACUCCGUGCCAGCAGCCGCGGUAAUACGGAGGGUGCGAGCGUUAAUCGGAAUUACUGGGCGUAAAGCGCAUGCAGGCGGCCUGUUAAGUCAGAUGUGAAAGCCCCGGGGCUUAACCUCGGAAUUGCAUUUGAAACUGGCAGGCUAGAGUCUUGUAGAGGGGGUAGAAUUUCAGGUGUAGCGGUGAAAUGCGUAGAGAUCUGAAGGAAUACCAGUGGCGAAGGCGGCCCCCUGGACAAAGACUGACGCUCAGAUGCGAAAGCGUGGGGAGCAAACAGGAUUAGAUACCCUGGUAG